CUACGGGGGGCUGCAGUGAGGAAUAUUGCACAAUGGGGGGAACCCUGAUGCAGCAACGCCGCGUGGAGGAUGACGCAUUUCGGUGUGUAAACUCCUUUUAUAUGUCAAGAAAAUGACAGUAGCAUAUGAAUAAGCACCGGCUAACUCCGUGCCAGCAGCCGCGGUAAUACGGAGGGUGCAAGCGUUACUCGGAAUCACUGGGCGUAAAGGACGCGUAGGCGGGUUGGAAAGUCAGGUGUGAAAUCCUACAGCCUAACUGUAGAACUGCAAUUGAAACUUCUAAUCUAGAGUAUGGGAGGGGGAGAUGGAAUUAGUGGUGUAGGGGUAAAAUCCGUAGAUAUCACUAGGAAUACCUAAAGCGAAGGCGAUCUCCUGGAACAUUACUGACGCUAAGGCGUGAAAGCGCGGGGAGCAAACAGGAUUAGAUACCCCUGUAGUC
rnacentral:rRNA from 1 species